rnacentral:rRNA from 1 species
CCUACGGGCGGCAGCAGUGGGGAAUAUUGGACAAUGGGGGGAACCCUGAUCCAGCCAUGCCGCGUGUGUGAAGAAGGCCCCCGGGUUGUAAAGCACUUUCAGUGAGGAAGAACGCCUGGUGGUUAAUACCCAUCAGGAAAGACAUCACUCACAGAAGAAGCACCGGCUAACUCCGUGCCAGCAGCCGCGGUAAUACGGAGGGUGCGAGCGUUAAUCGGAAUUACUGGGCGUAAAGCGCGCGUAGGUGGCUUGAUAAGCCGGUUGUGAAAGCCCCGGGCUCAACCUGGGAACGGCAUCCGGAACUGUCAAGCUAGAGUGCAGGAGAGGAAGGUAGAAUUCCCGGUGUAGCGGUGAAAUGCGUAGAGAUCGGGAGGAAUACCAGUGGCGAAGGCGGCCUUCUGGACUGACACUGACACUGAGGUGCGAAAGCGUGGGUAGCAAACAGGAUUAGAUACCCUGGUAGUC